rnacentral:rRNA from 1 species
UACGUAGGAGGCAAGCGUUGUCCGGAGUUACUGGGCGUAAAGCGCACGCAGGCGGUUCAGUCAGUCUGUAGGGACAGGGCACAGCUCAACUGUGUCAGGCUUACGGAAACUGCUGAACUUGAGGGCUUCAGAGGGAUGGGGAAUUCCGGGUGGAGUGGUGAAAUGCGUAGAGAUCCGGAAGAACACCAAAGGCGAAGGCACCAUCCUGGGGAGUCACUGACGCUCGGGUGCGAAAGCUAGGGGAGCGAACGGG